rnacentral:rRNA from 1 species
GUGCCAGCAGCCGCGGUAAUACGGAGGGAGCUAGCGUUGUUCGGAAUUACUGGGCGUAAAGCGCACGUAGGCGGCUUUGUAAGUUAGAGGUGAAAGCCUGGGGCUCAACUCCAGAAUUGCCUUUAAGACUGCAUCGCUUGAAUCAUGGAGAGGCGAGUGGAAUUCCGAGUGUAGAGGUGAAAUUCGUAGAUAUUCGGAAGAACACCAGUGGCGAAGGCGGCUCGCUGGACAUGUAUUGACGCUGAGGUGCGAAAGCGUGGGGAGCAAACAGGAUUAGAAACCCUUGUAGUCC